CAGCCGCCGCGGGAAUACGGAGGGGGCUAGCGUUGUUCGGAAUUACUGGGCGUAAAGCGCACGUAGGCGGCUUGGUAAGUUAGAGGUGAAAGCCCGGAGCUCAACUCCGGAAUUGCCUUUAAGACUGCCGAGCUAGUAGGUGAGAGAGGUAAGUGGAAUUCCGAGUGUAGAGGUGAAAUUCGUAGAUAUUCGGAAGAACACCAGUGGCGAAGGCGGCUUACUGGCUCAUUCUAGACGCUGAGGUGCGAAAGCGUGGGGAGCAAACAGGAUUAGAUACCCCUGUAGUCCCUGUCUCUUAUAC
rnacentral:rRNA from 1 species